rnacentral:rRNA from 1 species
AUUGAACGCUGGCGGCAGGCUUAACACAUGCAAGUCGAGCGGGGGAGGGUAGCUUGCUACCGGACCUAGCGGCGGACGGGUGAGUAAUGCUUAGGAAUCUGCCUAUUAGUGGGGGACAACAUCUCGAAAGGGAUGCUAAUACCGCAUACGUCCUACGGGAGAAAGCAGGGGAUCUUCGGACCUUGCGCUAAUAGAUGAGCCUAAGUGGGAUUAGCUAGGUGGUGGGGUAAAGGCCUACCAAGGCGACGAUCUGUUGCGGGUCUGAGAGGAUGAUCCGCCACACUGGGACUGAGAAACGGCCCAGACUCCUACGGGAGGAAGCAGUGGGGAAUAUUGGACAAUGGGGGGAACCCUGAUCCAGCCAUGCCGCGUGUGUGAAGAAGGCCUUAUGGUUGUAAAGCACUUUAAGCGAGGAGGAGGCUACUUUAGUUAAUACCUAGAGAUAGUGGACGUUACUCGCAGAAUAAGCACCGGCUAACUCUGUGCCAGCCGCCGCGGUAA